rnacentral:sRNA from 1 species
GCGAUCGAGUGGACGAUGAGCACGUCCGC